AUGCCAUGGAAGGGCCACCAUGAGCAGGAGCAGGACGACGCCUUGGAAGGUUCACCGACAGGAGCAACUACGUACGGUCUGAUCUUCUCCACUGACAGGGAUAUCGACAUGGAGGUCCGCCAUGGAAGGCCUGGAGCUCGUCAUGGAGGGGCCCUCCUCUCUCUUCCCCUCCCUCUACUCUGUUGGUUGGUUGGACGGAAGACCACCGCUCGUCCGGCUCUGCUUCUUCCACCGUUGCUCCCCUCCCACCAUAGUGCCACAGACGCUAUUGCAAGCACGGAAGAAAUCUUUGGAGUUCCUUCUUCAGAAACUUUUAUUCUGGCGCAGUUUGUACAGAUUUUUAUGUACAGUACGCAAAGUCAUAUGACUGCUGAAAAUGGACCGUCGUAUAUGCCUGUACAAGAAUUAGAUUCGGGGAGCCGCCUCGAUCCAGAGUACUCGCAAUCCAUUAUAGGGCAGUUCAAAUCCUGCCUCUGGAAGCAUUGGUUGACCUAUUGGCACAACCCAGAUUACAACCUUGUGAGAUUUUCCUUCACUUUGUUCACAGCCUUGCUGCUUGGCUCCAUCCUUUGGAAGAUUGGCACCAUUAUGGGUGGAUGCCAAUACUCUUAG
rnacentral:rRNA from 1 species